rnacentral:rRNA from 1 species
UACGGAGGGCGCAAGCGUUGUUCGGAAUCACUGGGCGUAAAGCGCGUGUAGGCGGCUCUGCAAGUCGGGUGUGAAAUCCCGAGGCUCAACCUCGGAACUGCAGUCGAUACUGCUUGGCUCGAGUCCCGGAGGUGGUGGUGGAAUUCCCGGUGUAGGGGUGAAAUCCGUAGAUAUCGGGAGGAACACCAGUGGCGAAGGCGGCCCCCUGGACGGUGACUGACGCUGAGACGCGAAAGCGUGGGGAGCAAAUAGG